GUGAGCCACACAAGCAACAAGAUUCACAAGAAGACCAAGUUUCUUUGUCAGCGCCUCUAUCAUCGGGGCCUGAAGAAGAGCUGGAAAAGCUGUUUCCACCUACUGCGGAACCUGCAUGAUCUGCACGAGACUCUCUGUAAUGAGAGACCAGGGAUUGAACCCUUGUUUUCUCCUUAUGCAGAGGCCCUGUACAAGGUUCUCUCUCUGAUGGGGCUGGUGACCCCACGACCCCCGUGUACCCUCAGCCUCCCAGUUACCAGCCUUCGGAUUAUGGCAUCACGGUUCCUUCUGAGCAGCUUCAAGGGAAUCCGCUGCCAAUGAUGUCGCAGGAGGAUUCCCCGUUUCCCACGUGGGAGCCCUGGAAUCCCAGCUAUCCAUUGUCAGUUCCACACCUACUUCCUGGCUUUGUCCCAGGAGACGCCAACCUCCAGCAGCCAUGGUCAACCUGUGAU
ensembl:antisense Gm12569 predicted gene 12569